UUCAAACACGCACAAACAACUCUCGCUGUACCCCCCAUCCCGCCGCUGUGCCAAGAUGUCGCAGAGUUCUUCGUCGGCUAGUCGGAGCCGGCCACCUCCUCCCCCGCUGCCAUUGAUCAUGUGCCCAAGCUGCCCCGGGACGAGGACCAGGUGGUAUGUGUCCGGGACAGAUCGCAACCCGGGCAUCCGGUUCUACAAGUGCCCAAACCAGGCAUACGGAGGCCCUUGCCGUUUUUGGCUGUGGGAGGACCAAUACGCGUCAACCUUCUCAUCGAGGCCGCCGGUGGUGGGAGCAACGUCAUGUUUGGAAUGGGUCGCGCCAUCGACGAAAUACGCACCGCAGCUAGGAACACCAUGACGAUAUGCAUGCUAAUGCUUUUCGUCCUGCUUGCCAAGGCGGCCGGCUGGCAGUAAAAACCCGUGUGGCGUACCACCAGCAACGAAGCCGGAACAACUGCUUGCCAACGAAGCCGUGACAGUAUUGUUUAUUAUUUGUAGCACGUAUGUAUCCAGAGUGCAGUGCUAUGUACGGACCGUCCCUACGUACGUCAAAAAAGGUACCGUGGCGAGCCCACCAGGUGCGACUUAUGGCGCUGUAUUCGGAUG